UUCAAAAUAAAAAUUACCAGCUUCUUCCUUGUCGGUAUUUCCAAACAAGACAAAAAUAAAAAUAUCAAAAUGUACUCCUUUGGUUCCUCUCUUCUCCAACCUCCAUCAGGCUCCAUACCUCAAGUCCUCAACCCCCGCCUCUAUCUCCUCCUUGUUCAUCCUCCUCAUGUUUAUUACUCCGUAUGAAGAAUGCAAAUAUACUGCAAUACCAUCUAGAUACAUCUCAAACGAAUUGGAGAUACAUCUCAAGCGAAUUGAAGAUACAUCUCAAACGAAUUGGAGAUACAUCAGUAUGAAGUGGAGAUACAUAUACAUCAACUCUAAACUACAGAUACAUCUGAGAUUCAUCAAAGAUACAUCUUGGAUUCAUCAAAGAUACAUCAAUACCAAUUGGAGAUACAUCAACUCAAAUACAUCAACUCUAAACUACAGGUAUAUUGAUGCUACCCUACAGAUACAUCCAAAAUUACCUGCAACUUUCACUAGCUACAAUUUUGGAGUCCGUCAAAUUUCAUCCGAGACGCUGAAUUAUCACUGUGAUCUGCAUAAUCAAGCUCGGAAUAAGAUGAGGCGAAUGUUGCGUGCCGGAGCUCCGGUUUCUUUAGCCACUGUAGUCAAGUAUGUAUUGAAGAAGAUACGCUUAGCUGAAUAAACCGAGAAGUUUAAGAGAACAACUCCCCAGGAGGUCAGUCAUCAAUCUCUGAUUCUUUGAUAUUCAAUUGAACAUGUUGGUAGUCAAGAUCUCUGAAUUUUAAUUUGCUGGAGUAAUGUUGUUGAUUGUUUUUUAUUCAUUUUAUCAUGGAUUUGAUGUAAGUAGCCUUAAGGGGGAUCUUAACUUGUUGCAAUGUGUUGCCUUCGUGGAUCUUUGUGAGGCAUUAGAAAAAGUAGGUGAUUCAAUGAUUUCGGUAUACCCUUGUUGAUUUGAGCUUAUGGACCUUUACAUGGUAUGUUCUUCUUCGGCAUAAUGGAUUAAAAAUGAUGAUUACACUAAUCUGAUUGGUCUUAUAUAUGAGAAGCAGAUUAUGCUUGCUGAGGUGCUAGAAAGGUAUGGAGAUAGAUAUGGAGGAUACACAAGGAUCAUCAGGACCUAACAAGGAGAGGUGACAUUUCUCCAAUGGCCUACAUUGAGCUUGUUUAGGCCUGGUUAAUUGGGGUGGGUGCAAGCAAUAGCUUACGGUAGAAUUGUGCUCUGUUGGUGAUGCUUAUUUUCUUUUGGUGUUGGUAUGAAGCCAGCCUGGUAGUUUGAGUUGCUGCAUUACCAAAGUUGACAUGUGGACUUCGUAAUUAAUUACUCUUACUCUAUAGUCUAGUAACACUAUCCUACUAGCUCAAUAGGUAGAGCAUUGUGCUAAUGCAGAAAAGUGUGGGUUCGAAUCCCACGUAGGUUCAUAUUUACUUCUUGUAUUGUUUUAUUUACUUUUAGUUUGAAAACGUUUACUUUGGCCUCCAUAUACUCCAAUACUCGGAGUUUCUAUGUUGUACAAAACUUUUGAAACUUUUUGGAUUUACUUUAGAGAAUUUUUAAUUUACUUCUGAUUUAAUAUUAUUUACUUUUGAUUUGUUUUAUGUUCCUCUUGUUGCUGUAGCAGUCUUGUUUGCCGACAUAGUUUCAAUUGAUCUGAUGCAACAUACCUUUGUUCUGGUCUCAUGGUUCUUGAGGUCUGUUAUGCAGCCCUGAGGUCACUAGUUCAGUUGUCAAUCUUGUCAUGAUCUUUGGCUAGAUUAAAUCAAAGCAACUUAAUGCAUCUACAUAUGACUAGUCGAGUAAUGUUUUACCAAUUGAUUCUCCUAAAACAACACCAGAACACAAAAACCUGAUCUACUAUGGGUUGUUUUAUUUACUUUUGAAUCGGUUCUAUUUACUUUUACUAGUUCUUUAUUUACUUUUGAAUUGAACAAAAGGAAUUUUUGUCAACCUAUUUUAGAGAAAAUAAUCUUUAUCUUUUAAUUACAUCAAUGAAAAUGAAAGUGAAAGAAGUUUCGGUUUACUUUUGGAACAAUUUCAUUUACUUAAAUCUUUAUUUUCUUUACUUUUUUUUUGACGAGAAAAAUGUAGCUGUUAUUACUCAAUCGAAAUU